GACGAACGCUGGCGGCGUGCCUAACACAUGCAAGUCGAACGGAAAGGCCCUGCUUUUGUGGGGUGCUCGAGUGGCGAACGGGUGAGUAACACGUGAGUAACCUGCCCUUGACUUUGGGAUAACUUCAGGAAACUGGGGCUAAUACCGGAUAGGAGCUCCUGCUGCAUGGUGGGGGUUGGAAAGUUUCGGCGGUUGGGGAUGGACUCGCGGCUUAUCAGCUUGUUGGUGGGGUAGUGGCUUACCAAGGCUUUGACGGGUAGCCGGCCUGAGAGGGUGACCGGCCACAUUGGGACUGAGAUACGGCCCAGACUCCUACGGGAGGCAGCAGUGGGGAAUAUUGCACAAUGGGCGGAAGCCUGAUGCAGCAACACCGCGUGCGGGAUGACGGCCUUCGGGUUGUAAACCGCUUUCGCCUGUGACGAAGCGUGAGUGACGGUAAUGGGUAAAGAAGCACCGGCUAACUACGUG
rnacentral:rRNA from 1 species